rnacentral:rRNA from 1 species
CCUACGGGAGGCAGCAGUGAGGAAUAUUGGUCAAUGGCCGUAAGGCUGAACCAGCCAAGUCGCGUGAAGGAAGAAGGAUCUAUGGUUUGUAAACUUCUUUUAUAGGGGAAUAAAGGUAUCCACGUGUGGAUAUUUGCAUGUACCCUAUGAAUAAGCAUCGGCUAACUCCGUGCCAGCAGCCGCGGUAAUACGGAGGAUGCGAGCGUUAUCCGGAUUUAUUGGGGUUAAAGGGUGCGUAGGUUGUUUUUUAAGUCAGCGGGGAAAGUUUGGGGCUCAACCCUAAGAUUGGCGGUGAAACUGGAAGACUUGGGUGUGGUUGAGGGAGGCGGAAUGCGGGGGGUAGCGGUGAAAUGCAUAGGUAUCACGGAGAACUCCGAUUGCGGAGGCAGCUUACUAGGCCAUAACUGACACUGAAGCACGAAAGCGGGGGGAUCAAACAGGAUGAGAUACCCCGUGUAGUC